UACGUAGGGGGCUAGCGUUGUCCGGAAUCAUUGGGCGUAAAGCGCGUGUAGGCGGUCCGGUAAGUCCGCUGUGAAAGUCGGGGGCUCAACCCUCGGAUGCCGGUGGAUACUGUCGGGCUUGAGUACGGAAGAGGCGAGUGGAAUUCCUGGUGUAGCGGUGAAAUGCGCAGAUAUCAGGAGGAACACCAGUGGCGAAGGCGGCAACCUGGGCCAAUAUUGACGCUGAGGUGCGAAAGCGUGGGGAGCAAACAGG
rnacentral:rRNA from 1 species